UACGUAGGGCGCAAGCGUUAUCCGGAAUUAUUGGGCGUAAAGAGCUCGUAGGCGGUUUGUCGCGUCUGCCGUGAAAGUCCGGGGCUCAACUCCGGAUCUGCGGUGGGUACGGGCAGACUAGAGUGAUGUAGGGGAGACUGGAAUUCCUGGUGUAGCGGUGAAAUGCGCAGAUAUCAGGAGGAACACCGAUGGCGAAGGCAGCUCACUGGGACGGUACUGACGCUGAGGCGCGAAAGCCAGGGGAGCGAACGGG
rnacentral:rRNA from 1 species